ACGCUCGACACCUACGGGAGGCGGCAGUAGGGAAUCUUCCACAAUGGGCGCAAGCCUGAUGGAGCAACACCGCGUGAGUGAAGAAGGGUUUCGGCUCGUAAAGCUCUGUUGUUGGAGAAGAACGUGCGUGAGAGUAACUGUUCACGCAGUGACGGUAUCCAACCAGAAAGUCACGGCUAACUACGUGUCAGCAGCCGCGGUAAUCUGAGGCGGGCUGGCAAGGC
rnacentral:rRNA from 1 species